AGAAAAUCAAAUAAAAGUGAAAAAGGCAGGAUUGGAGGAGGAGAGAAGAAUCUAUGUCAUGCUCUUAUCGUGUGGCAUGGAACUUUUGGAUGUGGACGUGAGGAAUUUUUGUUCGGAGCUCACUUAUAAAUGUGAGCCACGUUGAAAUUUGUUUGGAGAAUUGCCACAUCCUCCCUGGGUUCCUUAUCAUCAACAUGGGAGAUGGUGACUGGGGAGGAAGAAUAUCCAUCUGUCCCAGUAGAAGGAAGAGGAAAAGUUUUAAUCAUGUUCUGAUGCCCGAUUAGUAACCCACCCACCUAGAGCUUUUGAAUCUUUUAGAAAGGCAAGUAGGAGACCACACAGCUCCAUUUAGCGUGAAAGAGAGGUCAAUGGUCCUCCUGUGAAAGCUGUAAUUUUGCUACCACUCUCUCCUCUAACCUCUUGAUGGGCGGCAAGGGAAUAAAGGGUGUAAAUCUCAUUCAGUUACUUUUGCUUUGCAUGAUAUGCUGGGAUAGCUAAAAUGGAUCUUCAACAGUGUCGGGCAGGACAAAGGAUUACUGUCUGCUAAUGUAAAGGAUGUGCUCUUUUUCAAUGAUUACUGAGAUUCUCUCUUUUAUCUCUUUGUCAUAGCCUGAAAACUGGGUCAUAUGCAGUGAUUAUUCCUGCUGGUCAUAUGAUGGUCUGCUUUUACGUUUCCUGAAGAGACAUGUUGUCGCUUCCGGUUACAAAGCAGAUUCCCUCAUGGGUGGUCAUGGACCGGGGGUUCUCGAUCUGUUCAUCUGAGUUUUUUUUUUUUGUUUAAUAAAUUAGUGAUUUAUAGGUCGGUUUCCAUUAGUUUUGAACUUCUAGUAUCAACCUUUGGCUGUUUAAUGGAUUUCUGAGUCUACUAUAAAAUUGUCUUGUUUCUCAUAAAACCAUUCAUUAGUACUCUUUAUAAUAAAAAAGGGACAGC